AUUGAACGCUGGCGGCAGGCCUAACACAUGCAAGUCGAACGAGUGGCGGACGGGUGAGUAAUGUCUGGGAAACUGCCUGAUGGAGGGGGAUAACGACUGGAAACGGUAGCUAAUACCGCAUACCAGCAGAUGUGCCCAGAUUGGAUUAGCUUGUGGGUGGGGUAACGGCUCACCAAGGCGAAGGUACCUAUCUGGUCUGAGAGGAUGCCAAGCCACACUGGAACUGAUACACGUUCCAGACUCCUACGGUAGGAAGCAGUGGGGAAUAUUGCACAAUGGGCGCAAGCCUGAUGCAGCCAUUCCGCGUGUAUGAAGAAGGCCUUAGGUUUGUAAAGUACUUGCAGUGGGGAGGCGUUACCCGCAGAAGAAGCACCGGCUAACUCCGUGCCAGCAGCCGCGGUAAUUC
rnacentral:rRNA from 1 species